UACCAGUUCCGGUUCCAUUACUUUCUUACAAGAGACAUGUCACACGACUUGGGUAAGCAAGGAUCGACCAAAUUGACUCUUUAAAACACAAAAGGGAGAGGGAAUUCAAUUCAAAGUUCAACAGACUCAGAGAAACAAAUACCUAAAACCCAGACCUAAUUUAGAACCCAAAUCACCAAUUUUUCAUCUUUUUCCUUUUAAAAUCAAAUUCUUAACAAGAUUACACCGGUUCUAGUUUUGCUUUGAAGGAAUAAUUCAAUCGAGUUCGACAAGCUAGAGUUGGUUUACCGCAGAAAGAUCGAGGGGAGAGUUUUGGGGGUUCAAUUCGAAAAGAUUGAUCGAUAUAUAUCAGAAAUCUGUUUUUCUUGAACCCUGAGUUGAUAUUGAAUAAUAAUGGAGGCAGCUUCACCAAACUCUAGGAGUAAAGAUAGGAUUAGUGAUCUUCCUGAUGAAAUUCUUCUCAAGAUCUUGUCGCAUCUCGACAUAUGGGAAGUCGUGAGAACUGCAGAGGUAUCAAGAAGAUGGAGGUACGCAUGGAAAUCAGUUCCUAAAGUGAAUAUUACUUCAUCUACAUGGAAUAGAUACCCCGGAAAAGAAAAGUUCCUUGCAUUUUUGAAUUUUGUUGAUAGAUUGCUUAUAUGUAGAGACAACACAAGCAUCCAUCGCUUUAGUGUAGAUGUUCCAAAUUAUUAUAAGGCAACAGAUUCGAUGAGGGAAUCGAUUUAUACUUGGAUAUAUGCACUAUUGCAACGUAAUAUUCAAGAAAUUUUUCUUCAACUAAAUAAUGCGAGGUCGUUAGAUUUUGAUUUUCCCAAGGAGCUUUUUCGUAGUAAAUCCCUGAAAAGAUUGGAGUUGGUAAUGACGAAUAAGGCGUUGACUUGGAUUUAUUUUCCAGAAUCAAUGUGUUUACCUCAGUUGAAAUCAAUGUGUUUACCUCAGUUGAAAUCAUUGUGUCUUCGUUCGAUUACAAUAACUAAUAUAGAUUCAGCUAACGAGCUUUUCAAAAGCUGCCCGGGUCUUGAAACAUUAGUGUUAUCCAAUAUCGAUGUACAUGUUGAGGAUGAUGAGCAGAAUUUUGUGAUAAAUAAUGCUCUACUGCAACAUUUGGAAAUAAAGAACAUCUGGUAUCUGAAUUUCUAUGAAGACUCGAUCGUCAAUCCCAAACCAAUCCAGUUAGAUGUUCCAGGUCUUAAAAAAUUCAUUUAUGAAGAUUCCGUGGUACGAGAAAACUGUUGUUUUAUCAACGAUUCUUCUUCUUUAGUCACUGCUGAUAUCACAAUGAUACUUAAUGAUACAUAUGAUGAAAAUGGGCAUGGAGAUAAAGUUGAUGAAGAUCCGGUACUAUAUUCAAACGUUUCCGAGGCAAAAAAAGAGGAAUUUUCUAAACGCAUGCUGAAAUUUCUUAGAGCUCUUCAUUGCGUAAAAGAACUGAAAUUAUCCCCUGGUUUCUUUGAGGUUCUCUCAAGAUCUCCCAAUUUAUUGGACAAUCCUCCACUUCAGUUCGAUAAUCUAAGAUAUUUAAAGAUGGAACUGUGGCUCACAAGAGGAUGUUUGGAUGUCAUUACACACUUACUGAAGAUCUCUCCCAAUGUAGAAUCCAUUUAUAUAACAUCAAAGGAGUGCGGUUUAGAAAAUUUUAAUGGCGUCUGGGAACCAGAAUUGUCACAGCCGUGCAUGUUGUCUCAUCUAAAGUUUAUUGAGAUAGGAGCAAUCCAAGGAAAUGAUAAUGAACUCAAGCUUCUGGGGCUUUUAUUGAAGAAUGCCGUUGCUUUGGAGGAUGUGAAACUGUAUUUUCAUUCUAAUCCCUGCUCAACUGACCAGAGAAGAAGAGAGUCGGAGUUCAUCAAAAAGCUAAAAGCACUUCCAAGAGCUUCUUCAAGUAUCAAUACAAGUUUCGUUAACCCUUCUUACCAGUGAUACUAGAACUGGUAAACUACUGGAUGUUAAGUGCCAAGGAUGCUUCAACAUAGCUACUGUAUUCAGUUACUCACAAACUGUGAUUGUCUGUGGAAAUUGUCAAACUGUCUCGCGCCAACCAGCAGGAGGUAAAGCUAGACUUAGAGAGGGAUGCUUAUUCAGGUGAAAGGGAGAUUAAGUUGCUGAAAUUUGCUUUUGUGUUGCUCCGAAUGUUGUGGUGGUAGAAUUUUUUCUUCUUUCUUUGUUUAGCUUUAAUUCAAUGGAAGACGAGUAAAUUGAGAUAGAAUUUAGGGUUUUGGUUCUGACGUAAUUUUGUUGCCAAUCUAUCUUUUGACAUUUAUAGUUGUCAUUUUUUAUGUUAGUUUCAAUAUUGGGAUCUCUAGUAUCAAUCAUUCACUCAUGGCUCUACUUUGCUUUGUUCAAAACAUUUGGUUUAGUGCAUUUCAAUUGUUAGAACCAAGUAUCGAAGCUUCAAUAGAAUGAGUGAUGGAUUACAGCCC